AAAUUUCUCUAUAAACAAUUUUUGCUGUUGUUUAAUGCUUUUCUUUGUCGCUGUUUGUAAUUUUUCUGCAAGAAAAAAUUGCUGCUUUCCUAACUGAACCUUACUGUCAGUGCGGCUGUGUUGGAUUGGCUUUUGCAAUUUUUUCGCUUUUGAUUGAGGCCUUUUCUACUAUUGAAAGUGUUUUUACUUCUACUGUUACUCAAUCACAAGGAAGGGAGUUUUUGGACCGUUAUUUAAUUAUAUCAAUAAAAUCCACACACCAGGCAUAUUUUCUACCAAAAAAACUUCGCUGGUAUUCCAAACCUCUAGACUUUUUAAAGAACAAAUUCAUAUAACACCGCUAGUUGUGGACGAAUGCUGCAAAAUAAUCACUGUUGAAAACCGAAGGAAUUCAUGCAAAAAAAAUCAAACUGAGUACAGGAAAACUCCUAGAAAAAACUGUGCAAAUCGAAAAAAAUUCAAUCGGUUUUCCCUCACAAAGCAUUAAUCCUUAAUGUGGAAAAUCGCAAACGCAAAGUGCUUUCCUUAAUAUCUCAGCAUGUAUAUUUGAACUGUUACAAUGUCAAAGUGCGUAUUUUUAGAAACCGUCUAGAGUAUAUAAGCCAACGCUUGAUUUCACAUUGUCGUUUUCUCCAUUUCAACACAAGUCAAUGCACCAGUUUUGAGUAACUCGUAAUGUCCAAUACUGUUCCUCAAUUAUACCUUUACUGGUGCCAUUAUCAUUGGCCCAAUUUGUCAUAUUUUGUCAAUAUUUUUGCAAAUUUUCCGUGCUUGCUCAAAAUGGUUGGAGGCUUCAGAAGCUUUGCUGAAUACAAGAGCGACUGGCAUGGACCGAACAACUUUCUGACUUUUGGAUUCUACAAACGAAACUACGCACUAUUUCCAAUAGUCACGCUGGCUUUUCUGGAUUGCUGCUGGAUGGCGUUUUGUACGAUCAAAGGUUUCCAGAGAACCGACAUUGUUUUGUCCCGCAACUUUAUCAAAAACAAGCAUCAAAGCGAGCUGAUCGAUCUGCUGAUCCAUCCAGUAAACAGGAAAUUUUUCACUAUUAAGCAAACCUUUGAGCCUCAACCCGAGUUGUACAAUCUUUAUCAGCAAAUGAUCAAAGCAGAACAGGAUGGCGACUAGGAAAACUUAAAUAUGUCUGGAUAAUAAAUAAAGAGACAUGUCGUGUUCAG
rnacentral:lncRNA from 1 species